rnacentral:ribozyme from 1 species
UGCCCAGCAACUCCUAUCCCUACCUCCAUACGGUACCGGCCGGAAACCAUGAGCAACCUUAGGGAAGAUCGGGAAACCAACCCCUGGGAACUUUGGUCGUAGGCUGACAGGGAAAG